GCUGUCUGAUGAAAACGCAAUGACUUCAAUGACUGGCAUUUUACAUCUGCUUCUUUUCUGGCAAUGGUGAGAGACCUUUAUCAGUAUGACUUGCAGAAUUUCAAAAGUGGUUAAGCGAGCUCACUGAUUGUGUAAAAGACGAGUAGAGAUGAGGGCAAAUGUAUGUGUGAAAAAACAGUUACUGUACAUUGAUGUGACCAUUGCUUUCAUCAAAGCAAUCACUCACCAGCCAUAACAUGAGGUACCUGUCAUAAUCUAAUUGACAUCUUUUAUUGGAGCUCUGUCAAAAAUGUUGCAUUUCCAAAGAAAAUUAAAGGCGUCCAGACGCCAACCUGUGAAACUGAAAAAAGGUCUGCGUGUCAUGACGAAAAGGGGAGCUGCAACAUCCCCUCAUCCUUGUUGGAUGUUUGCUAUGAAACAACCAUGCUGGUAAAGAUAAAGAUAUGGAAAUGGAAGUUUGUGUUUGUGCAAAUACCUGUGGCUCCAAUGGAUGUGUGUGUGUGUGUGUGUGUGUGUGUG